UACGUAGGGAGCAAGCGUUGUUCGGAUUUACUGGGCGUAAAGGGCGCGUAGGCGGCCUUCUAAGUCGAACGUGAAAUCCCUCGGCUUAACCGGGGAACUGCGUCUGAUACUGGAUGGCUUGAGUGUGGGAGAGGGAUGCGGAAUUCCAGGUGUAGCGGUGAAAUGCGUAGAUAUCUGGAGGAACACCGGUGGCGAAGGCGGCAUCCUGGACCAUUACUGACACUGAAAAGCGAAAGCCAGGGGAGCAAACGGG
rnacentral:rRNA from 1 species